rnacentral:rRNA from 1 species
AUUGAACGCUGGCGGCAGGCCUAACACAUGCAAGUCGAGCGGGGUUUUCGGACCUAGCGGCGGACGGGAGAGUAAUGCGUAUGAAGCUACCCGAUAGAGGGGGAUACCAGUUGGAAACGACUGUUAAUACCGCAUAAUGUCUACGGACCAAAGUGUGGGACCUUCGGGCCACAUGCUAUCGGAUGCGCCUACGUGGGAUUAGCUAGUUGGUGAGGUAAUGGCUCACCAAGGCGACGAUCCCUAGCUGGUUUGAGAGGAUGAUCAGCCACACUGGAACUGAGACACGGUCCAGACUCCUACGGGUGGCAGCAGUGGGGAAUAUUGGACAAUGGGCGCAAGCCUGAUCCAGCCAUGCCGCGUGUGUGAAGAAGGCCUUCGGGUUGUAAAGCACUUUCAGUAGGGAGGAAGCGUUGAGUGUUAAUAGUACUCAGCGUUGACGUUACCUACAGAAGAAGCACCGGCUAACUCUGUGCCAGCCGCCGCAGUAAUAC